rfam:Selaginella moellendorffii unplaced genomic scaffold SELMOscaffold_94, whole genome shotgun sequence.
UUUCCCUCAGGAUAGCUGGAGCUCUUGCUGAGUUUUAUCGGGUAAAGCGAAUGAUUAGAGGCAUCGGGGGUGAAACACCCUCGACCUAUUCUCAAACUUUAAAUAGGUAAAGCAGCCGGGGUUGCUCUGUUGAGCCCCGGCCGUGAAUGCGAGCUCCAAGUGGGCCAUUUUUGGUUAAGCAGAUCGACUAGGCCGUUUUCGG